GGGCAGCACAGGGCCCCGCAGGCAUGGAGCCGGGGGCGGCGGGCUGUGUACCUCUGCGGAGCAUGUGCUCCCCUUGCAGCAGCUGCACGAUGGCCGUCUGGGUGGCGGGCACGAUGACGAUGCUUCCGUCCUCGCGGCCGCAAACGAGGCGACCGUGCGCCGCACAUCACACCCUCUACAGACUGUGAUCGAGAGAAGACAUGAUAGAAAACCUGAAUUCAUAAGCUUUGUGGAAGAAGCAGCCAUAGCUCCGUGACAGCAUAAAUCACUUUGUGAGCAGAGACACUGCAAAGCAGAAAAAAGAAGAGCCCUUAAGGAAGACAGCCAAAUAAAUAACUUGAAUGCAAGAACAGAAGGUAACCGGCGCACUCUAUCAAUCUGUUAUCAUUGACAUAUAUUAACUACCAACAUUCAGAAAGAAAUAUGUAUGUGCAAAACGCGAGUAUAUCUUCAGUGAGCUUGAAAGGUCAUAAAUUACAAUUGCUAAGCUGAACAGGAAACACUGGUGAAAAGAAGCCAUGAAGUUCCAGUAAUUUUCUACUCUAAAAGAGCUGACAGAAUAAACGUUGGCACUUGAGAAAUUUUCUCGGCCCUAAAUUAACUACUGCCCUAACUUUCUAUUAUUCCAUCAUUUUCUGACUCCCAUUAACCCAGGCAACAAUAAGCCAAAAC